UAUAUAUAUAUAUAUAUAUAUAUAUAUAUAUAUAUUGAAGCAUGAACGACAAGUAAGAUAUUAUAUGCACGUGUAAAAGAGGAUAUAGAUUCAGAAAAGAGAAAUAUAUAUAUAUGCCAGACAUAAUAUACACAAGAGGGUAAGUUUUUAUUACGGACUCUAUUGUCAUUUAUUACACGUACAAUCGAUAAAUGUGUGAUAGAGACGUUUGCCUUUUAUCCUUCAUCAUCUCUUUUUCUUUUAUUGUAUUGUGUUAUACUUUUAUUUCGUCAUCUGAAUAUUUUUACACAGAGAUAUACAUGACGGAGCUCCCAGUGAUGAUGAUUGAACACAAUUUUCGAUUUAUAAAUUAUAUUGUUACUCGAAUGUAUUUGUAAAAGUGGGUAUAUACGAGGGCGAACGAUCAACGAAGGCGAACUCUUAAAAUCUCAAAGAUGUUCAUCAUAAUGAAUGAAUGGGAAAUGUUUAUUAACAUUACUUCAUUCGCGCUCGCGAAUCGAUUAAUAUAGGAUAGUACAUCAAAGAAAGUUUCAGAGAAAAAUUUAUCUUUAUAUUUUUCGUCGUUUGUUGCUUGUUCGUCCAGUCUAUAUCCGCCUGGAAAGAUGUGAUCUUGGUUUUGUACUGACUGAAAUUUUUCAGGACGCUUGCGUUAUGCGUGCCCGAGUGCAGAAUGCAAGGGACUGACAUGGGGGAUUGUAUAAUGUACAAGCACGUCCAUGUAUACACAUCCCCGCGGUCAGCGAUAUGAUAGUUACGACAACGUGAAUCGUACACUUGCAUUAUAUUUCCAUUGUGUAGCAAAACAUGAUGAUUAUUAAAUACAUGAUUGUGUAUCGAAAACACACGCGUAUAUACAUAUGCCGAGACUGCUUCGAAGAUCUCUUAUCGUACAUACAUUUGUUUUUUCUCUUUAUCUCUUUUCUCUUGUUUUUAAAUACAGUGCCAGUAAUUCUUGCAUCAGGUCGUGGAAAGGGGGAAGAACGCAGCGAGAAAUUGACAUUUCCAUGCUCACGAUAGAGAAAGAGAGAGAGAGAGAGAGAUAAGAGCUCACUGCGGGUACUCGAUUCUGGUGUAUUUGGAUGGAGUAAAUGUUAGAUUUUCAAAGCAAUCUGUUUAAUAUAAAGCUGAUGAUGUAUGAGGGACAAUGUAUUUUGAUUUCGUGGUGAAAAUAUAUUUGACGAAUUACAAAAAAAAUAUGGAGUACAUACACACGAUGCCCCAUUCCACGAAGAAAGAGAGAGAGAGAGAAAGGAAAAAAAGGGAUAAUACUAUUAAUUGGAUCACGUCAUGCGUGCGAUAUAUUUCGAGAUGCGUCCCGCUUGUAUAAUAUAAUUAUGACACACAAACGUAUUGCUGUGUCGAAACACACCGCUGACGUCCGUUCGACCAGCGAGCAGACGUCGGAAGUGAUUUUUAUCGUGCGCUUCGCUAAUAUUAUCACUGUUGUUAUUAUAUGUUUAGUCUGACUUUCGAAACACACGAAUUGUAAGUGCUAGUUGAUACGACCUAUACGUGUGCCUGCGUGCGUGUGCGUGCCUCCCCCGUCAUUCCCCUCCCCGUUUAUUUCUCGAUUAGGAAAAAAAA
rnacentral:lncRNA from 1 species